AGUCAUCUCUGCCAUGCACAGAGGAAGUGUCGCUGUGCGGCGACACAUGUGACCGCCGUCUGUCAUGUGGAAAACACACCUGUUCAAUGAGGUGCCACCGAGGGAGCUGCGAGACCUGCAGACAGGAGGUGGAGAAGGAGUGCAGGUGUGGUAAAUACAGGAAGUUGAUGCCGUGUCAUAAAGAAUAUCUGUGCGACUCCAAAUGUCCCAAAACCAGAAGCUGCCAGCGACACCAGUGCAGGAGGAAGUGUUGCCCUGGUAACUGCCCCCCCUGUGACCAGAGCUGUGGGCGAACUCUGGGGUGUCGAAACCACAAGUGUCCCUCUGUGUGUCACCAAGG